CGACACCGGGCCUUGCUCCCUGCUGAGCUGCUAGACUUGCCCACAGAUUGACCAGAAGAUCUACUUGUUGUCACGAAGUGUGUCCUCCACAGCUACAACUUUCAGUCUAAGCAGAGCCGGACCCAGGACUGCUGCAUUCUUACACAUGCACACACUUGUGGCAUGUGUAAGAAGGUGUUUUCUGCUGUACUGAUGCACAUUUUCAAGAUGCAGUGCUCGCACAGAGGAGGACCCGACUGCAGAGAGAUCACUGCCACGUGCCGGAUCUACAGAUGAAUUGGGAACGUCUGCUUGUGUAAACACAGAUGCUGUUUUGCAAAAGUUUCUAGAUAGCAGCUGAAUGAUGACUCAGACGUUUUUGUCACUGCAGAGCUGCACGUGGUCCUGUGUACAGCAUCGUGAAAGGCAUUGGAGCAAACGGGCUAAUGGAGGGCUCUUUACUUUGGAAUUUUUGUGCACCCCACGUUUUUGCCAUAAUGCUCCCUGCAAUAAGCCAUAAUGCUUUUCUGUGUGAUGACAUGCACAGUAAUAAGAAGAGAUAACUGGAAACCUUCUGUUUAAGUGAAAUUGUAUUGAAAAGUGGGUUUAUUGAAUGUGAUAUUGCACAGCAAUAUGACAUCGGUAAAAUUUACACAAAGGAAUUUUUUUAAUUCCUGAGCUUUCCGGUAGCUUUAUGUGUUGGAAAAAAUGGAAAAAGAGUAAAGAGAAAAGAAAAAAGGGGGAAAAAUAAGGGCAAAUUUGAUAGUUCACUUCUUUAAAGACAUUUUAGCACACAUUUGAUACUAUAUUUCAAGUUAUUUCUUUGCAUUGAUGUGGAUCAAAAGCAAAGGGAAAACCUCAAAACUUGCCACAAAACUGAAUAUUUAUCUUCCACAGAGCUUUAGUGUUAAGCAUUUAAACAGCUGGCUUGUUCUUUCUGUGCAGAGUAAGAGGAACAGAUUGCUGUAAGGGAAUUUAAAAGGAUUAUCAUAUUUGGGAUCAAAUUGCAUUAAAAACUACUAAGGAAAUGCAGAAUGUGAUCUCUGACAUCAAAAUCAGUUCCUGAACUGGGAAAAGAGAGUAUGAAUUUUAUUGCUCACAAAGAUGAAAUUAGGUUUUAUUGAUUGUUGAUAUUUUCAAUAUGAGUAGUUGAAUAUAUUAAUAUGUUCAACACUGUUGAUUGUAACUGUGAAAUCAAUGUGAUGAAGAAAUCUAUUUUCAAAGUGAAGUCUGCUGGUGGAAACAUAUGGCAAUUAAAAUCUUACACUAAAUUAUGUCUAUGAGCUGCAGUUAAUUUUUAAGUCUUCAAAAUCUGUGACCAUUUAUUGAUACAAUGUCUGUCAACUGCUUUAUUUUAUCUGGCAAUUUGUUGACAGCAUUUAGUUUACAGCAUUUUGAAAUCCAUUUCUGCAACCAGAAAAAAGUGAUCUGUGAUACAAAUUGCAUCAUUUUGCUGGCACUAUAGAUAUGAUAUUUCUGGUGUAGUGGGUAGGAACAGAAUUUUUUUAAAAAAGUAACUUGAUUUUAAAACAAAGAUAAAUAUUAUAUCAACUUGAAAUUUUUUGAUUGUUAAUACCUUGAAUUUUUCAUUGAUAAUUUAAUUAUUUUCAUAUGCAUUAUAUUUCUAGCACAGGAAAAGUGCUUGUGAGUUUUGAGACAAUUAUUAUAUGUCUCUGAAAGGGAUGGUAGGAUAUUUCUUUCAUGUAUAUGAACUUUCUCAUACACUGAUUAAAUUUAAAUAUAUAAACACUUUUACAGUAGUUAAUCAUGUUGAGGAGCUACAGGUCUCCUUAGUGUUUUGUUUUAAAACAAUG